rnacentral:rRNA from 1 species
CCUACGGGAGGCAGCAGUGGGGAAUAUUGGGCAAUGGGCGCAAGCCUGACCCAGCAAUGCCGCGUGAAGGAAGAAGGCUUUCGGGUUGUAAACUUCUUUGACAGGGGAAGAGCAGAAGACGGUACCCUGAAAACAAGCCACGGCUAACUACGUGCCAGAAGCCGCGGUAAUACGUAGGUGGCAAGCGUUGUACGGAUUUACUGGGUGUAAAGGGCGUGUAGCCGGGAAGGCAAGUCAGAUGUGAAAUCUGGAGGCUCAACCUCCAAAUUGCAUUUGAAACUGUUUUUCUUGAGUACUGGAGAGGCAGACAGAAGUCCUGGUGUAGCGGUGAAAUGCGUAGAUAUAAGGAGGAACACCAGUGGCGAAGGCGGUCUGCUGGACAGCAACUGACGGUGAGGCGCGAAAGCGUGGGGAGCAAACAGGAUUAGAUACCCUUGUAGUC